GACGAACGCUGGCGGCGUGCCUAAUACAUGCAAGUCGAGCGAACAGACGAGGAGCUUGCUCCUCUGACGUUAGCGGCGGACGGGUGAGUAACACGUGGAUAACCUACCUAUAAGACUGGGAUAACUUCGGGAAACCGGAGCUAAUACCGGAUAAUAUAUUGAACCGCAUGGUUCAAUAGUGAAAGACGGUUUUGCUGUCACUUAUAGAUGGAUCCGCGCCGCAUUAGCUAGUUGGUAAGGUAACGGCUUACCAAGGCAACGAUGCGUAGCCGACCUGAGAGGGUGAUCGGUCACACUGGAACUGAGACACGGUCCAGACUCCUACGGGAGGCAGCAGUAGGGAAUCUUCCGCAAUGGGCGAAAGCCUGACGGAGCAACGCCGCGUGAGUGAUGAAGGUCUUCGGAUCGUAAAACUCUGUUAUUAGGGAAGAACAAAUGUGUAAGUAACUAUGCACGUCUUGACGGUACCUAAUCAGAAAGCCACGGCUAACUACGUG
rnacentral:rRNA from 1 species